rnacentral:rRNA from 1 species
GACGAACGCUGGCGGCGUGCUUAACACAUGCAAGUCGAACGGUGAAGCGCCUUCCUUUUUGGUGGGUGUGGAUGAGUGGCGAACGGGUGAGUAACACGUGAGUAACCUGCCCCCUUCUUCUGGAUAACCGCAUGAAAGUGUGGCUAAUACGGGAUAUUCUGGGUCUGUCGCAUGAUGGGUCUGGGAAAGAUAUUGUUUCGGUGGGGGAUGGGCUCGCGGCCUAUCAGCUUGUUGGUGGGGUGAUGGCCUACCAAGGCGGUGACGGGUAGCCGGCCUGAGAGGGUGGACGGUCACGCUGGGACUGAGACACGGCCCAGACUCCUACGGGAGGCAGCAGUGGGGAUUAUUGCACAAUGGGCGGAAGCCUGAUGCAGCGACGCCGCGUGAGGGAUGGAGGCCUUCGGGUUGUGAACCUCUUUCGCCAGUGAAGCAGGCCUGCCUCGUUUGUGGGUGGGUUGACGGUAGCUGGAUAAGAAGCGCCGGCUAACUACGUG